CAAAGCUUGAGAGGUCUCCUAGCUCCCACCUCUGGGGCUCCCUCCAAUCCUAGCUGCUUGCCUCUCAAGCACUGUGUACUUGUAGAGAUUAGAUUUUAUUGUCUCCAUAAGUCAGAAAUAUAUUUGACUUUAUAUUUGAUAGCUCCAAGAAAUUAUAAAUGUGUACAUAAUAGAGGGAAUACACUAUUGAUGCAUAUGCUGGGAAAUAGGAUAUAUUUAUUUUCUUCAGAAAUAAGAAAAAAAAGAGAAAGAAGGAAAGAAAGAAGAAAGAUGAAGAAAGAAGAAGAGGAAGAGGAAGAAGAAGAAAAAGAAGAAAGAAGAAGAAAUCUAGUCUUUUAAAUUAGGAAGCAGAAAAAAAAGAAAACAGAAGCUCUCCCUUUGUUUCAUAGAAAAUGGUGGUGAGGAGGCAGUUGGCCCUGGGAGAGGGAUGUUUAUCUCUUGCGAUCAUGAUUCUAACUCUACCUGAAAUGGAUCACAGUCUCUGAAGGCAUGGAUCGGUAUUGCUGCUAUAAUAAUAAUAAUAACUAAUUUCUGAAUA